rnacentral:antisense_RNA from 1 species
ACCCCUAUUCCUCCCCGGGGCCAUUCCCGCUCAACGAGUUUUAUGACCUAAAAAACCCCACAGGCUGGUCUGAAGAGGAAGACACUUAAAGAUGAAGUGCUUAAUUCAAGGUCACAGAAUGUCGGGGAUGGACCUCCAGAUUUCCUUACUGACCUGCAUUAUCUUGUGGAUACCUGAGUGAAUUCCACACCACCCAUUUUAUAGAUGAAGCCACUGAGACGUGGAGCAACUGACUGAGUAGUCACUGCCCCACCCCUGCCUGGAGCCUCACACAUGACUUCUCUUAGUGACCACAGGUUGGUUGAGGGGUUUAACAAGGCUAAGAAGGUGAGACGUGGUCUUGUAACACAGUGGUUAAGAAUGUGACUUUGGAGCCAGCCUGCUAGGGGCUGAAUUCUGACUCAGCCAUUUAUUAACUGUGUGACCUUAGAUGGAGUCUCACUCUGUAGCCCAAGCUGGAGUGGCGUGAUCUCGACUCACUGCAACCUCCGCCUCCUGGGCUCAAGUGAUUCUCGUGCCUCAGCCUCCUGAGUAGCUGGGACUACAGGUCAUAGAAUUUUCCACACUCCUUGACGGAGGUUCUUAACCCUUAUCCAUCAGCAUUCUCAGACAGCACCUCCGGUUAGGGACAGUAUCUGACCGUCCGACAUCCCUGCAGCCCCCAUGCUGUCACACAGACUCAGCCUCAGGUAGAUGGUUUCCGUAGAUGGUGGCUUUCUUUGGACCCUUGAUAUCAACCAGUUACUAUUUGCUCCUGCAACCACCGCUCUACUUUCUGUCUCUAUGAACUUGACUACUCUAGACACCUCAUGGGACCAGAUGUGCAGAGGUAAUGAAUACCAGGGAAUCAGGAAACCACUGGAUCAGUUCUUUGAGCCAUAGAACAACACUCAUCCCAGCAGCUGGGAAGCUAUCUGCAAAAGUCCAUCUGCAGAAAGGGCUUCCUGGUCUUGCGUGUGGCUGGGCCAUUUCUCUGGAUGCAGGUUUUUCAUUAUACAGUCUUCUCAAAGGACCACCUGCUCUCAACACCUUCUCGGUGACUCCAUUUCCCCUCCUCU